UUAAUUGAAUCCAAAAUAGAGGAAAAUUAUUGUUAAUAAUUUUAUUGAAAUAUUAUUCCAAUUAAU
rnacentral:tRNA from 1 species